ACACCGCCCGUCGCUCCUACCGAUCGAGUGUUUAGGUGAAUUUGAUGGACGUAAGGAAGUCAAAUAAACCUGAGCACUUAGAGGAAGGAGAAGUCGUAACAAGGUUUCCGUAGGUGAACCUGCGGAAGGAUCAUUCCAUUAGCGCGCGAUUCAUUGGUUCUCAACCUGCGUAAGCAGCGUAAUAAAGGUUUUUUAGCUUUGGAGGUGUCGGGUACUGAUCCGAGGAAGGACGCAGUUACACGCGAUAUUCAACCUGAAUCGCAAAACUGCGGAUGGUCGGGUGUCUGAAUGCUCAAAGCCGGAGCUACUGGUCACGCUCUAACACACCCCUUCGGUGUCUCACUUCCGCGUGAUGUGAGAAUUCCAAAACAUUUUCACGUGACCACUAGCGGGGCAUGUAGUUAAUUUAAGCUUAUAAGUUAAUACACAAAGAAACUAAAUAGGAUGGACCGAGUAGUGGCGAAUGAAAAGUCCAAAGACCGAUCCGAAUUCAAGUUGUGGAUCCUACACUUCGGAAGACUCCAAAUCACCUGGAACGGUGGGCCGUAGAGGGUGAUAGCCUCUUUAGAGUCGGAAGAAGC
rnacentral:rRNA from 1 species